rnacentral:pre_miRNA from 1 species
AGAGGGAUAGCUGGGUCAAAUGGUGGUUCCAUUCCAAGUUUUAUAAGGAAUCUCCAUCAUGCUUUCUAGAUUGGUUGCACCAAUUUGCAAUCCCACCAGCUAU